AUUGAACGCUGGCGGCAGGCCUAACACAUGCAAGUCGAGCGGAUCGGGGGAGGGGGGAGUGAUGGCUAGGAAUCUGCCUGGUAGUGGGGGAGAAGGAUCGGAAAUGGGAGCGAAUACUGAAAACUAUUAGAUGAGGAUAGGCCGGAUUAGCUAGUUGGUGGGGUAAAGGCAUACCAAGGCGACGAUCCGUAACUGGUCUGAGAGGAUGAUCAGUCACACUGGAACUGAGACACGGUCCAGACUCCUACGGGAGGCAGCAGUGGGGAAUAUUGGACAAUGGGCGAAAGCCUGAUCCAGCCAUGCCGCGUGUGUGAAGAAGGUCUUCGGAUUGUAAAGCACUUUAAGUGGGGAGGCGUUACCAGCAGAAUAAGCACCGGCUAACUCCGUGCCAGCAGCCGCGGUAAUUC
rnacentral:rRNA from 1 species